rnacentral:rRNA from 1 species
AUGGCGCGACGCCUCCACUCUGCUAUAAUCGCCACCUUCGUUCUGCUUGCGGUUGGACAGUGUAGCAAUGCAGUCCCGACGGAGGCUGAAGUGUACUGGCGCACCGUCCUGCCCGAUUCUCCGCUCCCGGACCCCAUCCUCAAGCUCCUCCAUCCUGAGACCAGCUCUGUGAAGAAACCAAAGGAUGAUACGGUUGCUGAAGCGUACUCCCUGACAUGGUUAAUGUGGGGGCUUCGCUCGCGCUCUGGGCCGACCAAGCACUCGUCUCCCAGGCCAUCAUCAAAGGAUGAAACGGUUGCUGAAGCGUACUCCCUGACAUGGUUAAUGUGGGGGCUCCGCUCUCUCUCCGGACCGAAGAAGCACUCGUCUCCCGGGCCAUCUCACGACCGUGACCACAGCGCCGACGAGUAUCUGGCCCGAGGGCUCUUCUUCCAUGAGGAGGCAGUCCAAGUAGGCAAGACCAUGACCUUAUACUUCCCUUUGGCAGCCAGUGCACCGCUAGGGCUGUUGCCGCGUCAUGUGGCGGACUCAAUUCCAUUCUCGGCGUCCUCGCUGCCGACCGCCCUCGCGCGGCUUGGCGUCGCUAAUAACUCCGUGCAGGCAGCCAACAUGGAGGAGACGCUAUACAUGUGUGACCUGCCGCCAAAAGCAGGCGAGGCCAAAUUCUGCGCUACGUCACUGGAAGCCCUGGUCGAGGGAACCAUGGCGGCGCUCGGCACCCGCAACGUCCGGCCGAUGGCCUCCGACCUACCCCGCUCAGGGGCACCUAAGCAACCGUACGCCGUCCGAGCUGUGCACCCGGUGGACGGAUCGAGCUUCGUGUCAUGCCACGACCAUAACUAUCCCUACACUGUCUACAUGUGCCAUAACACACCCGCAACGAGGGCGUACAUGGUGGAGAUGGAGGGUGCCCAUAGUGGCCUUGCCGUCACUGUCGCCGCUAUUUGCCACACUGACACGUCCCACUGGGACGCGGAGCAUUUCUCCUUCAAGGUCCUCGGCACCAAGCCUGGUGACGGACCAAUCUGCCACUAUCUGCCGUAUGGGCACAACGUGUGGGUCAAGAAGGAGGCAAAUCGCUCGUCAUCGUCCUAA